GUUCACGUGCCCUAGCAGCCGCUCAGCUCCCGCCGCCACCCACGAACCCCGCCGCAUGCCAAACACCCUUCACCUCUCGCAUAUCUUUCCCUCUCGGCAACAUUCGCCCCUUCGCUCGCGCCAGAUCUUGCCAACCGGUCAAGUCGCGCCGUCUCCCUAUCGACGUCUCAGACCCAGCCACGCGCCCAUCUGAAGUACUGUGCUGCUCGUUCUUGUGCGUCGCUGCGUCUCCCUUAGGUCAUCCGUGUCGGAUCUGGGGAUUCAACCGCACCGCUAGUAGCCGCCCGAUGACGCGAGCAUCACUUCAAGCUGCAGCGCCACACUAGCCCCGCGUCCGCCACCCCAGUCGCUUCGCUGUCGGCUAUCGUCACUCUACCGCGUCGGGUCCGUCUUGGUCUUCGUCAGAUCUGUUGGGUCGUCAAGGAGUCUGGAAGUCAAAGGAGGCACCGUCGUGGAAGGCAGAAGUGAUUUACAUUCUUUGAGGCCGCAACUUUGAAUUGUCGUUAUAGUUUGGUGGUCUAAUUUUUAUUUGUGGAGUAUCGACUCGAGGUAAAGUUAGAGAUGCACCGACGAUGGACAAGCGAAAUUCGUGAUCGAGCCCUUAGGACUAGU